GACGAACGCUGGCGGCGUGCUUAACACAUGCCAGUCGUACGGUAAGGCCCUUUCGGGGGUACACGAGUGGCGAACGGGUGAGUAACACGUGAGUAACCUGCCCACAACUUUGGGAUAACGCUAGGAAACUGGUGCUAAUACUGGAUAUGUGCUCCUGCUGCAUGGUGGGGGUUGGAAAGCUCCGGCGGUUGUGGAUGGACUCGCGGCCUAUCAGCUUGUUGGUGGGGUAGUGGCCUACCAAGGCGGCGACGGGUAGCCGGCCUGAGAGGGUGACCGGCCACAUUGGGACUGAGAUACGGCCCAGACUCCUACGGGAGGCAGCAGUGGGGAAUAUUGCACAAUGGGCGCAAGCCUGAUGCAGCAACGCCGCGUGCGGGAUGACGGCCUUCGGGUUGUAAACCGCUUUCGCCUGUGACGAAGCGUGAGUGACGGUAAUGGGUAAAGAAGCACCGGCUAACUACGUG
rnacentral:rRNA from 1 species